rnacentral:rRNA from 1 species
CGUAUGGUGCAAGCGUUAUCCGGAUUUACUGGGUGUAAAGGGUGCGUAGGUGGUGAGACAAGUCUGAAGUGAAAAUCCGGGGCUUAACCCCGGAACUGCUUUGGAAACUGCCUGACUAGAGUACAGGAGAGGUAAGUGGAAUUCCUAGUGUAGCGGUGAAAUGCGUAGAUAUUAGGAGGAACACCAGUGGCGAAGGCGACUUACUGGACUGCUACUGACACUGAGGCACGAAAGCGUGGGGAGCAAACAGGAUU